rnacentral:rRNA from 1 species
GCGCGUAAAUUGCCCGAAUCCUGACACAGGGAGGUAGUGACAAGAAAUAACAAUACAGGGCUCUUCGAGUCUUGUAAUUGGAAUGAGUACAAUUUACAUCUCUUCACGAGGAUCAAUUGGAGGGCAAGUCUGGUGCCAGCAGCCGCGGUAAUUCCAGCUCCAAUAGCGUAUAUUAAAGUUGUUGCAGUUAAAACGCUCGUAGUCGGAUUUCGGGGUGGUCCCGCCGGUCUGCCGAUGGGUAUGCACUGGCGGGGGCGCCCUUCCUCCCGGAGACGGCUGCUACUCUUAACUGAGCGGUGGCCGGAGACGGGAUAUUUACUUUGAAAAAAUCAGAGUGUUUCAAGCAGGCAGUCGCUCUUGCAUGGAUUAGCAUGGGAUAAUGAAAUAGGACUCUGGUGCUAUUUUGUUGGUUUCGAGCACCGGAGUAAUGAUUAACAGGGACAGUCAGGGGCACUCGUAUUCC